GGCGGGGGUUCCUUCUUUAACAAAAAAGUGUGCGUAAACCGCGUAUAGCCGAAUCUCAGUUGCUCAACAUACCGCCGUGCACACACAUGCAGUGGUACCGCCCAUAGGUCAAAAAUCGAAAAAUAAGUUGUCUUCUAUUUCACUGCCUUAUUUUUUCAUGGCUCAAUUAUUUUCACAAAAGUGUUAGAACAUAAAUUUAAUACAUAUCCAUCACAUAAUGGAGUAGAUUUUUCACGUUCAAGAAAAUUUUAAAAGAUUUAGCGAUUUCUACAUUUUUUUAUCGUCUUUGUGAAUCACAAUCAAUUGAAUUUCCAAACUAUUUGAACUAUAAAACCAUAGUAUAGACGUACCGUGACCUGCUCUAAUUCCGUGUAUCGCCUAAUACCGUGCUUUUCAUGAAAAUGUACAAAUAUUCAUAUAUCACUAGUUCCUUGCACUAACUUUUCUUUACAAUGUUGAAAUGCAAUAAAAACAAUGUUGACACUUGAUUGUAUUGACAUUUUAUGCUCACACAUCACGAAAAACAAAACAAAAACAAAAGCACAUGCUAUGAACUGUCAAACGUAAGCUUCCAUUACUGCAGAGGCUAAGAUUGUGCGUGAAAUUAAAUUUGCAACUUUCGCUGAUUUUCAUACAAAUUAAUUGAAACUUUUGCACUCACUCCUCUUCUAUUGGUAUGUAUUUUAAUCAGGUAAUAAAUUAUCUAGAACAAGUGUUCAUUUUAACACUUAUUUUCUAGGAAUUUGUUGCCACGGAAUUCGGACUUCAUCAUUCACAGUAGUUCCUAAUACCGCGGAACGAUUGUCAUUCAAACAUGACACCAAAAAAACGCAUGUUGUACUCUCUGGACCAAAUGAACAAUGCCUUGGAUAGAGUGAGAAACGGUGGAACUAUCCGCGGUGCAUCCCGUUUGUAUGGAAUUCCAGAGAUCACCAUACACGACAAAAUUAUCCAGCGAUAUACACUCAGAAUCCGAUCAAAUCGUCGAUAGUUUAAAUGAUAAUCUUUUUUGCCAUUCUUCAAGUUCACACGUAGUCUAGUUUUGAAGUUAUACAUUCUCUACAUAAUAAGUUAAACUAUGCAAGUUUUGCACCCACGAAAUUUGACCAGUGCAUAACUUCCACCGCUAACCACCAUCAUUGUUUUUUUCACGUUGUUGGUGUCAAUUUCGUCGAGGUGAAAUUGUAAUUAUUUGCGGCUAAAAUACGUGUGUGCCUCACGCAAGAAGUUGGAUUUGAAACAUAAUUUGUUCCUAGACGAUAUGGAAAAAUAAAAGACACUUCCGAAGUGAUGAACGGCAAGGAAUCAUUGUUGCAGCUAUUCCGGGCAACAUUCCGAGACAAUUGUGCAAAAUGCUGAUCGACAGAAGAGCGAAGUGGAAGGCGGAAAGAGAUCCUGAAGCACCUUGACCGGAACAUUUUAGUGAUAUUGAUUAAAAUAUGCGAAUGUACUCUUUCAACAUUGUGAUACGUAGAUUCUUCAUAAUAAAUAAAUGUGUCCGUUCCGUCCGUUUACUGGUCUUUCAUAGGAA